CGCAAUCUUUUGUGCGUGUAAAACAUUUAAAUUUCUUUUCGCAUGCUACUUAUUGUACAUAUAUAAGAGUAUCUAGUGUUCUGUCGUGAGCUAGAACUUCUCAAGGUUUUUGGCAGGAGCAGUGGCAUAAGCAAAGCCGAUGGCUGAAACAUGCACGUUUUUUAUUUCACUUCCCUUACUUACGUACAUACAUACAUAUGUACAUAUGUAUAUGUAUGUAUAAUUUGCCUUCAUUGUGCCAGAAAAGAAUGUUGAUAAGCAAGUUAACGAGAAAAUCUACAAACGCCACUUAAUUGAUAUAAAAAGACAAAAAAAGCACACCUAUGUACAUACACAUACAAUAGAGUCAAAGCUCCAUGCGUCAACUUCAUCGAGAAGAAUUUUCAUUUCAACAGUUUGCCGACUCUACCGACGUAAAACCGCUAUAGGUGUGCCACCGAAUCCCUUUACACUUGUGCAUCUCUUCCGGCAGUUUUAAAGCUACAAAUUUAGUACUAGCAUACAUUAUACAAUCUUUGACGCGAAGCAUACUUAGCUGAAUACUUCGGACACAAAUAUACAUUUAAUAAUGGCUAAAACGAUGUUAUUUUUAACGGUAUAUAAAAAGUGUUGCAAAGAUUUAUUAAAAAUUUCAACGAUUUGCUGGAAUAAUUGAUUCUCGCACUAUGAAUAAGUAUAACCACCUCUGAUGACUUGGAGAACUUGGGGAAAUCAUUCAUCAAUUUUAUUGACAGACGUUGGCCAUUGAAUCCUGCUUCUCUGAAUCUCCGGGGUAUAAAUAAUGUAUCUACCAUCACUCCUGCUGAACAAAAAAUUGUAUGUCAAUCCAGUCGCAGCAGAUUUG